rnacentral:misc_RNA from 1 species
CUCUACCAUCACCUAACCUCGACGGUCUAGACGUGCCUAACUUAUCAAAGAUGAGACUAUCCUUAACCAGUUGUGUUGUAUUAGUAAUUCUUGGUGGAGCUAUUGGGUUUCAAUGCGACCAAAACGCAACGAUAUGCAGAACUUCUUUGGAAAUCACCGAGAAACUAACCAUGUUUCACGAAACUGAAAAAGCCGUCUACGCGAAAAAUGGUUCUUUAUAUAGAUAUGACGUAACAGACGUCAACCUUGCCAGACCCGUGAACUCUGGUGAAGUUAUCGCGGGAGAUGGGUGGGAAAAGCAAAGAAUGGUUGUUGUUGCCAAUGGUACCUUACCAGGACCCCCUAUCGUUGCCUACAAAGGUCAGGUUCUAGUAAUUCGCGUCAAGAACUCGCUCCCGUCUGAUACCGUUUCUGUGCAUUGGUACGGGAUAGAGCAAAGAGGUACCCCUUAUAUGGACGGAGCAAGCUUCAUCACCCAAUGCCCCAUCAAUCCCGGCCAAACCUUCACGUACACAUUCAGAGUUGAUGAAAGUGGUACUUACUGGUACCAUUCAAGCGCAGGCGCACAGAGAGGUAAGGGAUUGUAUGGGGCUUUGAUAGUUCUGGAUCGAGAGCCACCGGCUAAUUUAGAUAAAGUCGAUGGCGACUUUGUUCUACAGAUACAGGACUGGAAUCAUGAUUACGAUGCUGAACAAGGUUAUAUGCUUUCUAAAGACGGGGUUUAUGAGAAUAGGAGCCAAAUCUUGACAACAAGAUUGCCAAGAGGACGAAACAAUUCUCUUUGGAACGCUCAUUCGUCAUUGAUCAAUGGAAACGGACGGUAUUAUGACCCUCAAACCGGGAAACACAACGAAGCACCUCUGCGGGAUUUCAAGGUUCAGGCCGUACUUAUGAACGAAUCUUUCUCGUAUUUGCCAGAUGUUCCUAAAAAUUUCCCAACCUGCAGGAACUUUGAAGGCAUAGAUCCAGAUGUUCUUUGGACGACACCUGAACCUGUGACGACCACGCCCAUACCUACAACAACCGAACCACCCACUUGCGUGACUUCCGGAGACUGCCAUCGUCACACCUGGAAUAACGACAACUGUCUACACAAGUGGGAGUGUAUAAACGGAAUCUGUCACUGCAAUUCUAGUACAUGAGUCCUCACUGUUAAGUCGCCGUACUGUUACUGAAUGCCGUGUAAAGAAACUAGAAAGUGCCUUCGUUUUACCUUUAUGUGUUAUGUAAUUUUAGCAUUUUACAAUCAACAGAUUUGAACAAUUAUAAGAUUUGGUUUUUGUUAUUUCUAUUUCUAGAAUUUAUAAUUAUCACCGUGACAUAAACAAAUGCCGGAUUUAUACAUUAAGUGAAACAAUGCAGCAUGUAUACAGUAAAGAUGACAUUAUCA